rnacentral:rRNA from 1 species
UGGGGAAUAUUGGACAAUGGGCGAAAGCCUGAUCCAGCCAUGCCGCGUGUGUGAAGAAGGUCUUCGGAUUGUAAAGCACUUUAAGUUGGGAGGAAGGGCAGUAAGCGAAUACCUUGCUGUUUUGACGUUACCGACAGAAUAAGCACCGGCUAACUCUGUGCCAGCAGCCGCGGUAAUACAGAGGGUGCAAGCGUUAAUCGGAAUUACUGGGCGUAAAGCGCGCGUAGGGGGUUCGUUAAGUUGAAUGUGAAAGCCCCGGGCUCAACCUGGGAACUGCAUCCAAAACUGGCGAGCUAGAGUAGGGCAGAGGGUGGUGGAAUUUCCUGUGUAGCGGUGAAAUGCGUAGAGAUCUGGAGGAAUACCGAUGGCGAAGGCAGCCAUCUGGCAUAAUACUGACGCUGAGGUACGAAAGCAUGGGGAGCAAACAGG